rnacentral:antisense_RNA from 1 species
GGCUGUCCAUUGUCCCAAGCCCUCGCAUGUCCUGGAUGGCCGGUCAUCAUCCACACGGGGGCUGAAAGGCCCGGCUCCAGCAAUCCUGUGGUCAUUAUUCUGCUGAAUCGCUUUGAACUACCCUUGGCCUAACAGCGAUUCCCAUCCCGCUUCCCUCCUGCCUCGCCACCGCAGGCCUGUCCCUUUGCUUUCUUGUUAAAACUGCGCACCGUCUGAGGCCAAUUCGAGCCUACUGGAUCCCUGGUUCCAACCCAGUAGGAUCACAGAAGCAGGGCCAUCUGCAGCUAAAGGACAUACUUGUGGAAGAAGAAAAUUACAAAAUGAAAGAACUGGGAUGCAAGAAGUAAUGGUGAGCAUGGAAUCUGGCAAAGAUUCAAGUAAAACAAAGCAAGGACUGAGUAUAUAAAAUCAUAAUCAUAACAAAUUUUGACUAUUACAUGUAACAGCCAAUCUCUUAACUGGGUCAUAAUAGUCAAGAAAGUGAAAGGCAGAAAAAUGACAAAAAGAAUAAUUAGAAUGUUAAUAAGAAGAGUAACAGGAUUUUGAAAAAUUUGUGCUGGUUGAUAUCAACUUUUGGCACUUUUCUCUUUUUCUAUACUGUUAACAUAAUUAAUGAAAAAAUAAUAAUUCAUACUUCAAAAAAUUUAAGAAGUUGCACAUAUUUUCAGUUUGAAAUAGUAUAAGCAUUUUACAAAUGUUAUUUUAAGCUUUAAAAAGUGAGUAAAAUUAAUAACCAAAUGGUGGAAGCAACCCAAGUAUCCAUCAAUAGAUGAAUGAAUAAACUAAAGGUAGCAUGUUUAUACAAUGGAAUAUGAU